rnacentral:rRNA from 1 species
UACGUAGGGACCAAGCGUUGUCCGGAAUCAUUGGGCGUAAAGCGCGUGUAGGCGGCUCGUUAAGUCCGCUGUGAAAGUCGAGGGCUCAACCUUCGAAAGCCGGUGGAUACUGGUCGGCUGAGUACGGGAGAGGCGAGUGGAAUUCCUGGUGUAGCGGUGAAAUGCGUAGAUAUCUGGAGGAACACCGGUGGCGAAGGCGGCAUCCUGGACCGAGAUUGACGCUGAGGCGCGAAAGCUAGGGGAGCAAACGGG